GCCCGGCUAGCUCAAUCGGUAGAGCGUGUGACUCUUAAUCACAAGGCUGCGGGUUCGAGCCCCGCGUUGGGCU
rnacentral:tRNA from 17 species